UGGGGAAUAUUGCACAAUGGGCGCAAGCCUGAUGCAGCCAUGCCGCGUGUGUGAAGAAGGCCUUCGGGUUGUAAAGCACUUUCAGCGAGGAGGAAGGCGGUGAAGCUUAAUACGCUCAUCAAUUGACGUUACUCGCAGAAGAAGCACCGGCUAACUCCGUGCCAGCAGCCGCGGUAAUACGGAGGGUGCAAGCGUUAAUCGGAAUUACUGGGCGUAAAGCGCACGCAGGCGGUUUGUUAAGUCAGAUGUGAAAUCCCCGGGCUCAACCUGGGAACUGCAUUUGAAACUGGCAAGCUAGAGUCUCGUAGAGGGGGGUAGAAUUCCAGGUGUAGCGGUGAAAUGCGUAGAGAUCUGGAGGAAUACCGGUGGCGAAGGCGGCCCCCUGGACGAAGACUGACGCUCAGGU
rnacentral:rRNA from 1 species